rnacentral:rRNA from 1 species
UACAACAUAACGCUAAUGCACUGGAUUUUAUUAGAACUAUGUAGUUAAGCGCGCUCAGGAUAAAGUAGUAUUGGGAUGGGUGACCGCUCAGGAAAUCCUAGUGUUUUAC